AGAUGGGACGCAGUUGAUAACUUGGUGAAGUACCUUGUCAAUCUGAACCACAUGAUAACUGCCUUGUCAACCACAGAGACAGCUGAGAUUGUGCAGCUAUAUUCCAGUCUACAUGCCAUGGACAAGGCUCCCUCCAAGUAUACACUAAAAUGUAAGAAGACAACCUUGCCAGGGCCGUGGAGAGCGUCCAGGAAACGUAGUCAACAAGCAGCUGAAAGACUAUUCUUGACCCAUGGUCAGGCUGCCCAAAGACCUGAUACCAACAGAAUUUCAGAGUGUGUUUCCCUCAGGCUUUUGAAGGAGUAUCAGCAAGGGAGAAAUAGGCCAAAAGACUGCAAGGGCAACACCUUACCCAUUCCACAGUCCAUUGUACAAACAUACUGUCACAUUAAACAACUGCUUGAAGACAGCCGGGUGAUACAGGACCAGACGAACUUGGUUAUAUGAAAGACAGAAGAGGACAGACCGUGAAUCACUCCUGCAAGGAGUACAGCUUCCCCAGAAGGUCUCUGCUACAAAG